CCUUUCUCGCUUCAUCCGCGGUCCCUGUCUGUUUUCGUUAUGGCGCCUUGUACUUCUACCCAACGUUGCCCGCCCCCCAUCUUCCCAGCCCACCAGCUCCGUCCGCCUCUCCGGAUGAUUCGUGAGAUACCGAGCCUGCCGGGAAGGGACCGGAUUUUUCCGUCUGGUCCAAGGAAGCACGGGUUAUGGCCACAUGCGCAGUGAUAACUCAGGGCCCCACGCCUUUUGACCCCUGUUGAUGAAGAUUGUGAGGAGGGAGACCAGAAGAUAAUGGACAACGAUACAGCAGAAGGGUCUGGUAAGCUCCGUUUAGUUGCACUACCCGGGGAGACCUGAGGCAUGUUUCCAAGGGCUGUGGCUGCCUGUAGCCAUGGGAUCUCCAACUGCAUGCCAGAGUAAUGGAGAGACUUUGACAGCUCAGGUUACACUUGAGCUUAUUUCUUGGAAGAGUCUGAGAAGACGGCCUGUCAGGCUCCUAACACUAAGGGCCAUGUAACCAGUGAAGCAGCCAUUAUAUAUGAUUUGGUCUACACUUGUUGGAAAAAUUCCACAAGAGGAUCUCCUGGAAGCUAGCAGAAGUUUUUGGCUUGUACAUUGCCAGGCAGCCAUUGGAAUCGGAGCUGCAGUCAGAUUAAGGCCAGCCUGGCCUACAUUGAGAAACCUCAUUUUGGGAAAGUGAAAUACUUUGUCAAUUAACAUGCAGUUGGUUCAAUAAAGACUUUUGGAAAGUG
rnacentral:lncRNA from 1 species